UACUCCUCGCAUCGACGUUUCCCUCCCUCAAAUCUCAAGCUUGAGGUUGUGCAUCAUCUGUGAUACCAUGAGGGGAGCCCGAUUUUGUAUUUUUUUCCUUUUGGAUCUCGUGGUGGUUUCUUUUUUCUCUGAUACAUGACGAGGUGUGGCCAUGUUGCUUUGGUUUUUGAUUGUUGUUUCUUCUUUUAAUUGAUAGAGGGCAAGAAGAGAAGUGUAAAAAUAUCUCUCUCUCUCUCCUUCUCCUUUUCUUCUUUGAAUUGAUGAUAUAUUUGUCAUGUAUAUUCAUGUAUCCGUCAUGUACCUCCAUGUGUUGUAUUUGUCUCUUGAUGCUUUAGGCAGGUAUCUUAUUUGAUGUGCUAAUGUACGCAAAUAAGAUUAACAUGUACCAUGGGUACAUGACGAGGUACUAAGUUUUGACGAUUUUGUACUAUGAUUUUUCCUUGCUACAUGAUGUACCAUAAUGUACUACUAAAUAUUGACAAGGUAGAUGUCGGUACUGUGGUUUCUUUUCCUGGUACAUGAGAUUGAUGUACACAAUCUUGAUUUCUUUUGACGAGGUACUUAAAAAACUGAUAAGGUGCAUUUCACGACAAUGUACUUAGAAUGAUGGAUUUCUUGGUUUUUUCUUUCAGUUAUGUGCCUACAGUGAUUUGUUUUCCUGGUACAUGAGAUUGAUGUACUCAGUUUUGAUAUUUUGACGAAGUACUUAAAAACGGACAAGGUACAUAGCAUCAGUUGAUGUACAUAGUCUUGGUAUUGACGAGAUACUUCAAUUUUUUUCUAGUACAUGACGUACUGUUAUGAGUUGAUGUACGCAAUUUUUAUUUUUUCACGAGGUACUUCAAAACUGAGAAGUUACAUUUCAUGUAUCACAAUUUACUUAAAAACGAGUUACUAAGUACUAACGAGGUACUGCAUAUUUACGAGGUACAUUAGGUGGUACUUUAAAAGUUCAUCCGAAAAGAAAGAAAAAAAGCAAAAAAUACACCGGAAAGGAAAGAGAAGAAAAAAAGAAAAUACGUAUGUGACUGAUAAAAAGUAGAGCAGAGAGAAGAGAAAGAGAGAGAAAGGGUAGAGCAGAGAGAAGAGAAAGAUAAAAAUGUGUCAGCGGUCACAUCCCAAAAAGUCAGACUGUUGUACUACUUCUCUGUUAGUCAUCUCUGCCUAAUGUAUACAACAUAGCAAAUUACAAACUGGCACAUAUCUCAAAGCAGCAUCCUAGGACUAGGACCAUAAGGGUAGGUCGCGUUAUUAGCACCACCUCCGCGUUCCCUCCACGACCACCAAGGAAACGGAACCCAGCUCCUCCUACUGGCCCGUGCUCCGUGCUGACUCUUGGUUUCCUGCUCCAGUCUCGACAACAAAACAAAAAUAAAAAUGGACUUUCUGUGGCUAAUUCCAUCGUAUAAAAUAGUUUUUUUUGACAGGCCGUCGUAUAAAAUAGUUGAUAUCCACGGUUGCUGCUACGUGAUGGAAAAGUUGUGUUGUGCUAGCUGUUCGCACAAAAUCAGUACAAGAGCAUCUCUAGCAGAUGCCGAACCCGGUUGAUUCGAACUGGGUAUUCGGUUUUCGGCCGAAAAAACGGCCCGACUAGAUACCGAAUAAUUGGCUGGCCCGAAAAAAAGGAUUCGGGUUACCGAAACGUCCCGCCAGCCGCUCGUAUAUCUAU
rnacentral:lncRNA from 1 species